UAAAUAUAAUUACGGCACAAAGUGGAUGCCUUGACUCAUACAUCCGAAGAAGGACGUACAAAGCUGCGAUAAGCCUGGGUAAGCUGCUACGACGCGUUACAGCCCAGGAUUUCCGAAUGGGGGAACCCUCUCUGCCUCGGCAGAGAAUCGCGAUAUGCGAAGGACACGACCCGAAUUGAAAUAUCUUAGUAAGGUCGGAAAAGAAAUCAACCGAGAUUCCGAAAGUAGUGACGAGCGAAAUUGGAAAAGCCCAAACCAUUAUGGUGCCAAGGAUAAGCCCGUUGCCAUAGUGGGGUCACAAGAUAUGUCAUCACAAAGCUUAAAUAGUGACACUCCAUAGAGAAUACAGAAAAACAGUCUGGAAAGGCUGGCCAAAGAAGGUUAUAGCCCUGUAUUUGAAAUAUCUCUCUAGCGGGUGCGACAUACUCUUAAGUAGCAUCGGCCACGUGAAAGCCGGUGUGAAGUCAGGACGACCACGUUCUAAGGCUAAAGAGUGUAUGAGAUCGAUAGUGAACAAGUACUGUGAAGGAAAGGUUAAAAGAACCCCGGAAGGGGAGUGAAAUAGAUCCUGAAACUUUGUGCUAACAAAGAGUGGGAGCUCUUCGGAGUGACCACGUGCCUUUUGGAGAAGGAACCAACGACUUACGUAUACGUGGCAAGGUUAAGGCAGAUACAGCCGGAGCCGUAGGGAAACCAAGUCUGAAUAGGGCGAUCAGUCACGUAUAGUAGACCCGAAACCCGUGUGAGCUACUCAUGCGCAGGAUGAAAGUGAGGUACAACUUACUGGAGGUCCGAACCAAUUAGAGCUGCAAGUCUAUUGGAUGACGUGUGAGUUGGAGUGAAAAGCUAAUCGAACCGGGAGAUAGCUGGUUCUCCGCGAAAUAUAUUUAGGUAUAGCGCAUAACAGUAAAUAGGAGGGGUAGGGCUCUGAUAAGACUAGCGGGUCUAUUCCGACUUAGCAAAUCUUGAUAAACUUCGAAUACUCUCUGCGCAAAUGUUAUACAGUCGGACAGUGACGGAUAAGCGCCAUUGUCAAAAGGGAAACAGCCCAGAUUCCUGUCUAAGGUCCCUAAGUUAUAACUCAGUGGAAAAGGAUGUGCGAUUACUAAGACAGCCAGGAUGUUGGCUUAGAAGCAGCCACUCAUUGAAAGAGUGCGUAAUAGCUCACUGGUCGAGCGACGCAGCGCCGAUAAUUAUCGGGACUGCAAGCAUACCACCGAAAUCGCGGAUUUAGCCUUACGGCUAAGUGGUAGGGGAGCAUUCUACGGGCGUUGAAGGUGUGAUGUGAGUCAUGCUGGAGCGCGUAGAAGAGCAAAUGUUGGCAUAAGUAGCGAGAACGAAAGUGAGAAUCUUUCGCGCCGAAAGUCUAAGGUUUCCUGAGCUCCGUUCGUCGACUCAGGGUUAGUCGGCCCCUAAGGUGAGGCCGAGAGGCGUAAUUGAUGGGAAACAGGCACAUUAUAAUAUUCCUGUACCGCUAUAGCAAUAAAAGUGACGCAGUGAAACGGUUCUACCGGCCAAAUGGCUAUGCAGGUAGAGCUUGGAGCUGCCGAGAAAAGCGAGCUAUGGCGACCGUACCGCAAACCGACACAGGUAGACGGGUUGAAUAUACUCAGGCGCGCGAGUGAGCCGUGGUUAAGGAACUCGGCAAAUUAACCCCGUAACUUCGGGAGAAGGGGUGCUGGAGCAAUCCAGCCGCAGAGAAAUGGCCCAAGCGACUGUUUAACAAAAACACAUCACUCUGCUAACACGUAAAGUGGAUGUAUAGGGUGUGACACCUGCCCGGUGCCGGAAGGUUAAGAGGAGAUGUCAGACGCAAGUCAAAGCAUUGAAUCGAAGCCCCGGUAAACGGCGGCCGUAACUAUAACGGUCCUAAGGUAGCGAAAUUCCUUGUCGGGUAAGUUCCGACCUGCACGAAUGGUGUAACGAUUUGGGCACUGUCUCAACCACGGGCUCGGCGAAAUUGUGGUACCGGUGAAGACGCCGGUUACCCGCAUAUGGACGGAAAGACCCUAUGCACCUUUACUAUAACUUACUAUUGGCUCUGGUUGCAUCAUGCGUAGGAUAGGUGGGAGUCAGCGAAGCAGUGCUCUUGGGCAUUGUGGAGACAACGGUGAAAUACCACCCUUGAUGCAGUUGGAUUCUAACCCGGCGGCGUGUAGCCGCGGGGACAGUGGUAGGCGGGUAGUUUGACUGGGGCGGUCGCCUCCUAAAUUGUAACGGAGGCUUGCAAAGGUUCCCUCAGCACGGUUGGUAAUCGUGCCAAGAGCGCAAAAGCAGAAGGGAGCUUGACUGUGAGACCGACAGGUCGAGCAGGUACGAAAGUAGGUUUUAGUGAUCCGGCGGCACCGAGUGGAAGGGCCGUCGCUCAAAGGAUAAAAGGUACGCUAGGGAUAACAGGCUGAUCUUCCCCAAGAGUUCACAUCGACGGGAAGGUUUGGCACCUCGAUGUCGGCUCAUCGCAUCCUGGGGCUGGAGAAGGUCCCAA
rnacentral:rRNA from 1 species